UGAUAGCUGUGAAGCGCGAGGUUGCUACUUAAUAUAGUAGGUUUUCCGUGGAGCGAAUGUCAAGUUAGGAAACUGACGACAA
rnacentral:ncRNA from 1 species